AUGAACGCUGGCGGCGUGCCUCAUACCUGCAAGUCGAGCGAACAGAUUAGGAGCUUGCUCCUCUGACGUUAGCGGCGGACGGUUGAGUAACACGUGGAUAACCUACCUAUAAGACUGGGAUAACUUCGGGAAACCGGAGCUAAUACCGGAUAAUAUAUUUAACCGCAUGUUUCAAUAGUGAAAGACGGUUUUGCUGUCACUUAUAGAUGGAUCCUCGCCGCAUUAGCUAGUUGGUAAGGUAACGGCUUACCAAGGCAACGAUGCGUAGCCGACCUGAGAGGGUGAGCGGCCACACGGGAACUGAGACACGGUCCAGACUCCUACGGGAGGCAGCAGUAGGGAAUCUUACGCAAUGGGCGAAAGCAUGACGGAGCAACGCCGCGUGAGUGAUGAAGGUCUUCGGAUCGUAAAACUCUGUUAUUAGGGAAGAACAAAUGUGUAAGUAACUAUGCACGUCUUGACGGUAACUAAUCAGAAAGCCACGGCUAACUACGUG
rnacentral:rRNA from 1 species